rnacentral:rRNA from 1 species
GACGAACGCUGGCGGCGUGCUUUACACAUGCAAGUCGAACGAUGAUGAGUGCUUGCACUUUGAUUAGUGGCGAACGGGUGAGUAACACGUGAGUAACCUGCCUCAGACUCUGGGAUAACUCCGGGAAACCGGGGCUAAUACUGGGUCUGACAUCUCCUCGCAUGUGGGGGUGUGGAAAGGUUUUUUGGUAUGGGAUGGGCUGGCGGCGUAUCAGCUUGUUGGUGGGGUGAUGGCCUACGAAGGCGAUGACGGGUAGCCGGCCUGGGAGGGGGGCCGGCCACACUGGGACUGAGACACGGCCCAGACUCCUACGGGAGGCAGCAGUGGGGAAUAUUGCACGAUGGGCGCAAGCCUGAUGCAGCGACGCCGCGUGAGGGAUGACGGCCUUCGGGUUGUAAACCUCUUUCAGCAGGGAAGAAGCGUAAGUGACGGUACCUGCAGAAGAAGCGCCGGCUAACUACGUGCCAGCAGCCGCCGUAA